rnacentral:rRNA from 1 species
AGUCUGGCCUGCCCACUGAGGGGUUUUAAAGGCCGCGGUAUUAUGACCGUGCGAAGGUAGCAUAAUCAUUAGUCUUUUAAUUGGGGGCUGGUAUGAAUGGUCGGACGAGAAAUGAGCUGUCUUAAGUUUUGAACAUUGAACUUAACUUUUAAGUGAAAAGGCUUAAAUGGGCUAGAGGGACGAUAAGACCCUAUAAAGUUUGACAUUAAAUUAAUUAAAGGUGAUUUAGGUCAUUAAAGUCUUAUUAUUAUAUAAGUGUUUAGUUGGGGCGACUAGGAUAUAAGUGAUUUAACUGUUUUCUUCGUUCGAGUCAAGAAUAUUUGAGUGUAUGAUCCUUUUUUAGGAUUUUAGAGUAAAUUACUUUAGGGAUAACAGCGUAAUUUUUUUGGAGAGUUCUUAUCGAUAAGAGAGUUUGCGACCUCGAUGUUGAAUUAAAAUUUCUUUGUAAUGCAGCAGUUACAAGAGAAGGUCUGUUCGACCUUUAAAUUUUUACAUGAUUUGAGUUCACACCGGCGUGAGCCAGGUUGGUUUU